AAGAAGAUCAGGUAUACUAUAUCUGCCUUGAAAACAGAGAACAGGACGUUCAACUCGUCCAUCUUCUUA
rnacentral:tRNA from 1 species